GACGAUCGCUGGCGGCGUGCUUAACACAUGCAAGUCGAACGAUGAAGCCGGAGCUUGCUCUGGUGAAUUAGUGGCGAACGGGUGAGUAACACGUGAGUAACCUGCCCUUGACUCUGGGAUAACUGCGGGAAACUGUAGCUAAUACCGGAUACGACCCUCGGAGGCAUCUCCUGGGGGUGGAAAGAAUUUCGGUCAAGGAUGGACUCGCGGCCUAUCAGCUAGUUGGUGAGGUAAAGGCUCACCAAGGCGACGACGGGUAGCCGGCCUGAGAGGGGGACCGGCAACACUGGGACUGAGACACGGCCCAGACUCCUACGGGAGGCAGCAGUGGGGAAUAUUGCACAAUGGGCGCAAGCCUGAUGCAGCAACGCCGCGUGAGGGAUGACGGCCUUCGGGUUGUAAACCUCUUUUAGCAGGGAAGAAGCGAAAGUGACGGUACCUGCAGAAAAAGCACCGGCUAACUACGUGCCAGCCGCCGCCGUAA
rnacentral:rRNA from 1 species